rnacentral:rRNA from 1 species
CCAAUAGCGUAUAUUAAAGUUGUUGCAGUUAAAAAGCUCGUAGUUGAAUUUCGGGGUUAGUAGGUUGGUCAUGCCUCUGGUAUGUACUGGUCUCACUGAUUCCUCCUUCCUGAUGAGCCGUAAUGCCAUUAAUUUGGUGUUGCGGGGAAUUUGGACUGUUACUGUGAAAAAAUUAGAGUGUUUAAAGCAAGCUAACGCUUGAAUACAUUAGCAUGGAAUAAUGAAAUAGGACGUUCGAUCCUAUUUUGUUGGUUUCUAGGAUUGACGUAAUGAUUAAUAGGGAUAGUUGGGGGCAUUAGUAUUCAAUUGUCAGAGGUGAAAUUCUUGGAUUUAUUGAAGACUAACUACUGCGAAAGCAUUUGCCAAGGAUGUUUUCAUUAAUCAAGAACGAAAGUUAGGGGAUCGAAGACGAUCAGAUACCGUCGUAGUCUUAACCAUAAACUAUGCCGACUAGGGAUCGGAUGAUGUUAAUUUUUUAAUGACUCAUUCGGCGCCUUACG